rnacentral:rRNA from 1 species
ACAGCAGCCGCCGCGGUAAUACGUAGGGGGCAAGCGUUAUCCGGAAUUACUGGGUGUAAAGGGAGCGUUGACGGUUAAACAAGUCUGAAGUGAAAUGCCGGGGCUCAACCCCGGAGCUGCUUUGGGAACUGUAGAACUGGAGUGUCGGAGGGGUAAGCGGAAUUCCCAGUGUAGCGGUGAAAUGCGUAGAUAUUGGGAGGAACACCAGCGGCGAAGGCGGCUUACUGGACGACAACUGACGUUGAGGCUCGAAGGCGUGGGUAGCAAACAGGAUUAGAUACCCGAGUAGUCCCUGUCUCUUAUAC